AACGGAAGAUAAAAUUUUUUUCUUUUACCUCCCAUUCCCUCUUUCAAAUACCUGCAAAUCCAAACCCUAAAUCCUGACCCUAACAAUUCUCUGUCUCAGCAAUUAAAUCAUGUUUAAUCCUUACGAUUCCAGAUAUACUGAUGCUGGCUCUUAUCGUAACCGUCGCAGUGAUAUUAUGGGGGCAGCGCCUCCAAUUGUUCCACCGCCUAUGAUGGGUAGUGGAGGUUUAGGCCCGAGUUAUGACCGUGGUGGGCCUCCUCCUCGGUAUGGUGGGCCUAUGGGGGCACCGCCACCUGUGGUGGAUGGUGGUAGAGGGGUCGGCAGUGGUGGUGGCUAUGGUGGUUUAGGAGAUAGAAGGGGUGAUUUUAGAGCUAGGGGGUUUGAUUCGGGACGUAGUGGAGGUAGGAGUGGUGGCAGUGGAAGGGGUGGUUCCGAUGCUGGGAGGGGUGGUGGAAUGGGUUUUCGAGGUGGGCAUGGGGGAGGAAGGGGUGGUUUUGAUGGAGGACGGGGUGGUGGUAGUAGUGGAAGAGGUGGUAGACAUGGUAGUAGGCCAAGAGAUGACCUAGAUAAUCUUGCUCUUCCAAAGCAAGAAUUUGGGAACUUGGUUCCUUUUGAGAAGAACUUUUAUGUUGAGAGUCCUUCAGUGAGGGCAAUGACCGAGCAAGAGGUUGCAGUUUAUCGUGCCAGACGGGAGAUGACUGUUGAUGGCCAUGAUGUUCCAAAGCCAAUAAGGAUGUUUCAUGAGGCAAACUUUCCUGAUUAUUGCCUUGAGGUGAUUGCUAGAUUAGGUUUUGUUGAGCCAACACCUAUUCAGUCUCAAGGUUGGCCCAUGGCCUUGAAAGGUAGAGAUCUUAUAGGCAUUGCUGAGACUGGUUCUGGGAAGACUUUGGCUUAUAUGUUGCCUGCUUUGGUACAUGUCAGUGCGCAGCCGCGAUUGGCACAAGGAGACGGUCCCAUUGUGCUAGUACUAGCACCUACAAGAGAAUUGGCUGUUCAGAUCCAAGAAGAAGCAAUGAAAUUUGGAUCCCGUAUAAGAAGUACUUGCAUCUAUGGUGGUGCCCCAAAAGGACCACAAAUCCGUGAUCUUAAAAGAGGAGUUGAAAUUGUUAUUGCCACUCCGGGUAGAUUGAUAGAUAUGCUGGAGGCUCAACAUACAAAUUUGAAAAGAGUAACUUACCUCGUACUAGAUGAGGCUGAUCGAAUGCUUGAUAUGGGAUUUGAGCCUCAAAUUAGGAAAAUUGUUUCACAGAUUAGACCAGAUAGACAAACUUUGUAUUGGAGUGCCACAUGGCCAAGGGAGGUAGAAGCUUUAGCAAGGCAGUUUUUGCGCAAUCCUUACAAGGUGAUCAUUGGUUCUGCAGAACUGAAAGCAAAUCAAUCUAUACGGCAGAUCAUUGAAAUAGUGACAGAUGUGGAGAAGUACACUAGGCUGAUUAGGCUGCUGAAAGAAGUGAUGGACGGAAGUCGUAUUCUUAUAUUUGUGGAGACAAAGAAAGGAUGUGAUCAAGUGACAAGACAAUUGAGAAUGGAUGGAUGGCCAGCCUUAUCCAUCCAUGGUGAUAAAAGCCAGGAUGAAAGGGACUGGGUCCUGGCUGAUUUUAAAAGUGGCAGAAAUCCUAUAAUGAUUGCCACUGAUGUUGCUGCACGUGGUCUUGGUAGGAUCACUGUGUGUUAAAACUUAGGUCUUUUAGGCUCUUAAUUUACAUGCUAGGUGAGUCUCCGGCUGCUGUCCACUUUCCUGAGAAUAUAAUUUGUGGUUUGGGUGCAAGAGGUGGUGCUACAGGGUUAGGGUUGUUAAUUGGAAUUCAGUGCUGGACUACCCGAUGCAUAUUUGUUAGCUCCAUGUCUUCGUGUGAGCACCACUAUAAGCAACUUUGCUAUCCUGUUUAAGAUUCUUUUGCCAAGAUAGACAUGGUGGCUUGGUUGGGGUGGGGUAUCAGAGGACAUUGCCCUCUUUGCUGAAGAGGAUGCAAGAAUGACAUCCAUAAUCUCUCCUCUGGUAUCACCAAAAUGUUCCUACUUAUGUUACAUGGACACUGGGCAUUACAUUUUCAAAACUUGGUUCAAGAUUAGAAUAGUUCUCAAAUAUUUUUUUUAACUUUGGUCACGCGUUAUCUUCUCAUGGGAUCAAGAGUAGAUUAUUGCUGUAAAUAUAGUUUGCAUGUUUCUAUGCACAGGUGAUUCUAAGAAUGAGUGGUAACCUCGGUAGAAACUCUUCCUUUUUUGAGCUAGUGCUGCCCAAACAGACAUGGUGAGUUGGCUACUUAACUGGGGUUAUUGUGGUGAGGAGAAAAGGAGAAUGUCCUACAAUACUCCUAGUAAUCUUCUCUUCUAGUAGUGCCAAGUUGUGGCCGUAUAUCCAGUUAGUUAUUGAUAAGAUGAUGUAUCACAGUAGGCUUGAGGGCACUCUCUUUCUGGAGGAUGUCCCAGUGCAGAACUUCUCCUGAGAUCUGGAAACCUUUUAAGUUGCUCUCCUUGCUUUGAGAAAAAAUGCUAUGGCUCCUUUUAUUGUGUCCAAGUAACAUGGUCGAAUAUAAAUAGCUGCCCAUCCACAGUUAUGAAGCUGGUUUUUGUGACAGCCCGGAUGACUCAUACAAGCUUUUCCAUAGAUGUCGUAUUUGGAAAAUGUGGUGGUGAAGCUGCUCCUUAUCCCUGCAAGGUUAAGAUGUUAAGGACAUAAAAUGUGUGGUUAACUAUGAUUUUCCAUCAAGCCUUGAGGAUUACGUUCAUAGGAUUGGCCGAACUGGUCGUGCAGGAGCUACAGGAACUGCUUUCACUUUUUUCACUCAUGCAAAUGGCAAGUUUGCCAGAGAUCUAAUCAAGAUAUUACGGGAUGCAGGCCAAAUCAUUCCUCCUGAUUUGUCUGCGAUGGCCAGGUCUACUGGUUCUACUAUGGGAGGAAACAACUUUCGCUCCAGAGGACGUGGGGGUUUUGGCAACAGAGGUAUCUCUGGAUCCAACACAAUACCUCUUGGUGCUAGGAAGCCAUGGUAGUUUCAUUCAUUGUGCAACAAGAAUGGGGGAUGCAUCAUCUUCAGAUGUACAGAUCUGUAUCAGUUAGAAAUAUAUGUUGCGUGUUGUGUUUUUCUUUCCUUCUGUUAGAUUCUUGUUUUCCUACAAAAUUUGGCUGAUAGUGGAAGACCCUUGCACUCUUUAUCCAAAAGCCAUAGAAAUACAAACAGAGAAUACUUCCCCAGUGUAGAAAUCUCUUUAGCAGCAACAUCUUAGCUGAAAUUUCUAGGACACUAUUUUUGUACUUGCAUGUAUGAUUUGGCAGCAACAUCAGUUAUAGAAUGGUGUAUUAUGAGUAAUGAAUUUUAUCCUGAUCAUCA